rnacentral:misc_RNA from 1 species
GGAAUUCCCCAGAUGAAAACUUCCUCCGGUGGUGGCGCAGGAGCAGGAGUUUCCUCUGUUUUGGUUUCCUCUGUUGGAGCUGCGUCGACUUCUUUAGCAGGGGCUGGCUCCUCUGCAGCAGGAGGAGUCGAAGAAACCGCUACUACGGUCUCCUCAAUUGCCUCUACUGUCUUGGCUCCAUCCUCAUCUACAGUAGUCACCUUCGCCACCACUACUUCAGCGACCACAACAGCUUCUGCCGGUGGUUCAUCCUUCUUUUCUUCCUUCACUUCCACCUUCUUCUCUUCUUUCACUUCACCCUUCUCUUCCUCUUUCACUUCCACUGGCGGUGGGGGUGGUGGAGUUACAGUCUCAGCCUCGGUGGUUUUAGGUUCUUCAGUUUUGGGCUCUUCACUAGUAGAAGGAGCAUCUGGAGUUUUCUGUUUCUCCUUGACUUCAACCUUUUCCUCCUCCUUCACUUCAACUUUCUCCUCCAC